GAUGAACGCUGGCGGCGUGCUUAACACAUGCAAGUCGAACGGUGAAAGAGGAGCUUGCUCCUCUGGAUCAGUGGCGAACGGGUGAGUAACACGUGAGCAAUCUGCCCUGGACUCUGGGAUAAGCGUUGGAAACGACGUCUAAUACCGGAUACGCGACGCGAAGGCAUCUUCAGCGUCGGGAAAGAACUUCGGUCCAGGAUGAGCUCGCGGCCUAUCAGCUAGUUGGUGAGGUAACGGCCCACCAAGGCGACGACGGUAGCGGCCUGAGAGGUGACCGGCCACACUGGGACUGAGACACGGCCCAGACUCCUACGGGAGGCAGCAGUGGGGAAUAUUGCACAAUGGGCGCAAGCCUGAUGCAGCAACGCCGCGUGAGGGACGACGGCCUGG
rnacentral:rRNA from 1 species